AAAAUAAAAAUAGAAUAAGUUCCUGUGCCCGAAACUGGAGGAACAAUAAUGAAUAUGUUGAGUUCUUGUGCCUAAAACUGGAGGAACAAAUGCUGUGUAGGGUGCUCUAUUCGGAGUAACAGGUUGGACUCAUUACAAGUGAGAUCCCGUCAGGUGAAAAGGUAGAGUAGCACCUAAAGCAUAACUAAAAUGAACUUAAGUGGUAUCCAUGCGUAUAAAAAUCAAAAAGCCUGUGAGAACAAGAAAAGAAUAGCUUCCCCUCAAGCUGAAAUCUAAACUCAAACUCUGAGUUGUAGGAAAGAAAAGGUAGCUUAGUAUCCUGACUGUGUAGUUUAUGAGAAGGAUCAUGUCAUGACUCUGGUUGACAGUAAUA
rnacentral:lncRNA from 1 species